rnacentral:misc_RNA from 1 species
GAAAUGCGAUAAGUAAUGCGAAUUGCAGAAUUCAGUGAGUCAUCGAAUCUUUGAACGCACAUUGCGCCCUGUGGUAUUCCGCAGGGCAUGCCUGUUCGAGCGUCAUUUCAACCCUCAAGCUCCGCUUGGUGUUGGGCCCUGCCCCCGCGGCCGGCCUGGUCUUGCCCAUUUAUCUCAAGGUUGACCUCGGAUCAGGUAGGAAUACCCGCUGAACUUAA